GCACUGAGAAGGCUUUUAACCCUGAGAUACGUUAAGGUAUGGUUAUACUAAUAAUUCUAUCACUUUGUUCAGAGUGAAGUCAUUCUUAUACACUCAUUAACUGUGUAGUAGAUUAUACAUAUAAUAUAAUCUGUAACUUGUUGGGAAUAGAUGGAUUAAUAAAGUGAUGACGUUUAUGUUUAUACUGUACUCUAUUUAGAUGAAGACUUUCAGCAUGAAGAUUGCUGUUCUACUUGGAUUUGUGAUGCUUCUCUCUAUUGCUCUGGCUGAGCAUGACCAUGGCCAUCAGCAUAUCAUUGAGAAGCGCUCUUCAAGUGAAGAGCGUGGCCGUGGCCCUGGCCGUGGCUUUCCAAACUUUCUCCAGCAGUACAACUACUUUCUGCUUCUGCAAAGACUUGGUCUUUUCCCAGCCCCUGCAGCCCCGGCCCCUGCAGCACCUGCCCCUGCAGCACCGGCCCCAGCCCCAGCUCCAGCUCCAGCUCCAGCUGGUCGCUGAGAAAGGACAUGAAUCAGAACCUUCAACUCAACAAGAGCAAGCUGUGGUUGCUGAAGUGACCAGAACAUUAACUGACACUAAGUACUGCAAUAGCUGAUUUCCAUAUUUUGCUUGAGUUUCCCUUUAAUGUACUUGCUGUAUGUCUGUCUG
rnacentral:lncRNA from 1 species